rnacentral:rRNA from 1 species
GGGUUGUGAGGUUAAGCGACUAAGCGUACACGGUGGAUGCCCUGGCAGUCAGAGGCGAUGAAGGGCGUGCUAAUCUGCGAUAAGCGCCGGUAAGGUGAUAUGAACCGUUAUAACCGGCGAUACCCGAAUGGGGAAACCCAGUGUGAUUCGUCACACUAUCAUUAACUGAAUCCAUAGGUUAAUGAGGCGAACCGGGGGAACUGAAACAUCUAAGUACCCCGAGGAAAAGAAAUCAACCGAGAUUCCCCCAGUAGCGGCGAGCGAACGGGGAGGAGCCCAGAGCCUGAAUCAGCAUGUGUGUUAGUGGAAGCGUCUGGAAAGGCGCGCGAUACAGGGUGACAGCCCCGUACACAAAAGCGCAUGUGCUGUGAGCUCGAUGAGUAGGGCGGGACACGUGGUAUCCUGUCUGAAUAUGGGGGGACCAUCCUCCAAGGCUAAAUACUCCUGACUGACCGAUAGUGAACCAGUACCGUGAGGGAAAGGCGAAAAGAACCCCGGCGAGGGGAGUGAAAAAGAACCUGAAACCGUGUACGUACAAGCAGUGGGAGCACAGGUUUACCUGUGUGACUGCGUACCUUUUGUAUAAUGGGUCAGCGACUUAUAUUCUGUAGCAAGGUUAACCGUAUAGGGGAGCCGCAGGGAAACCGAGUCUUAAUUGGGCGUUAAGUUGCAGGGUAUAGACCCGAAACCCGGUGAUCUAGCCAUGGGCAGGUUGAAGGUUGGGUAACACUAACUGGAGGACCGAACCGACUAAUGUUGAAAAAUUAGCGGAUGACCUGUGGCUGGGGGUGAAAGGCCAAUCAAACCGGGAGAUAGCUGGUUCUCCCCGAAAGCUAUUUAGGUAGCGCCUCGUGAAUUCAUCUCCGGGGGUAGAGCACUGUUUCGGCUAGGGGGCCAUCCCGGCUUACCAACCCGAUGCAAACUGCGAAUACCGGAGAAUGUUAUCACGGGAGACACACGGCGGGUGCUAACGUCCGUCGUGAAGAGGGAAACAACCCAGACCGCCAGCUAAGGUCCCAAAGUCAUGGUUAAGUGGGAAACGAUGUGGGAAGGCCCAGACAGCCAGGAUGUUGGCUUAGAAGCAGCCAUCAUUUAAAGAAAGCGUAAUAGCUCACUGGUCGAGUCGGCCUGCGCGGAAGAUGUAACGGGGCUAAACCAUGCACCGAAGCUGCGGCAGCGACGCUUAUGCGUUGCUGGGUAGGGGAGCGUUCUGUAAGCCUGCGAAGGUGGCCUGUGAGGGUUGCUGGAGGUAUCAGAAGUGCGAAUGCUGACAUAAGUAACGAUAAAGCGGGUGAAAAGCCCGCUCGCCGGAAGACCAAGGGUUCCUGUCCAACGUUAAUCGGGGCAGGGUGAGUCGACCCCUAAGGCGAGGCCGAAAGGCGUAGUCGAUGGGAAACGGGUUAAUAUUCCCGUACUUGGUGUUACUGCGAAGGGGGGACGGAGAAGGCUAUGUUGGCCGGGCGACGGUUGUCCCGGUUUAAGCGUGUAGGUGUGUGUUCCAGGUAAAUCCGGUUCACUUUAACACUGAGGCGUGACGACGAGGCACUACGGUGCUGAAGCAACAAAUGCCCUGCUUCCAGGAAAAGCCUCUAAGCAUCAGGUAACAUCAAAUCGUACCCCAAACCGACACAGGUGGUCAGGUAGAGAAUACCAAGGCGCUUGAGAGAACUCGGGUGAAGGAACUAGGCAAAAUGGUGCCGUAACUUCGGGAGAAGGCACGCUGACACGUAGGUGAAGUGAUUUACUCAUGGAGCUGAAGUCAGUCGAAGAUACCAGCUGGCUGCAACUGUUUAUUAAAAACACAGCACUGUGCAAACACGAAAGUGGACGUAUACGGUGUGACGCCUGCCCGGUGCCGGAAGGUUAAUUGAUGGGGUCAGCGCAAGCGAAGCUCCUGAUCGAAGCCCCGGUAAACGGCGGCCGUAACUAUAACGGUCCUAAGGUAGCGAAAUUCCUUGUCGGGUAAGUUCCGACCUGCACGAAUGGCGUAAUGAUGGCCAGGCUGUCUCCACCCGAGACUCAGUGAAAUUGAACUCGCUGUGAAGAUGCAGUGUACCCGCGGCAAGACGGAAAGACCCCGUGAACCUUUACUAUAGCUUGACACUGAACACUGGUCCUUGAUGUGUAGGAUAGGUGGGAGGCUUUGAAGUGUGGACGCCAGUCUGCAUGGAGCCAUCCUUGAAAUACCACCCUUUAAUGGCUGGUGUUCUAACGUAGACCCGUAAUCCGGGUUGCGGACAGUGUCUGGUGGGUAGUUUGACUGGGGCGGUCUCCUCCUAAAGAGUAACGGAGGAGCACGAAGGUUGGCUAAUCCUGGUCGGACAUCAGGAGGUUAGUGCAAUGGCAUAAGCCAGCUUGACUGCGAGCGUGACGGCGCGAGCAGGUGCGAAAGCAGGUCAUAGUGAUCCGGUGGUUCUGAAUGGAAGGGCCAUCGCUCAACGGAUAAAAGGUACUCCGGGGAUAACAGGCUGAUACCGCCCAAGAGUUCAUAUCGACGGCGGUGUUUGGCACCUCGAUGUCGGCUCAUCACAUCCUGGGGCUGAAGUAGGUCCCAAGGGUAUGGCUGUUCGCCAUUUAAAGUGGUACGCGAGCUGGGUUUAGAACGUCGUGAGACAGUUCGGUCCCUAUCUGCCGUGGGCGCUGGAGAACUGAGGGGGGCUGCUCCUAGUACGAGAGGACCGGAGUGGACGCAUCACUGGUGUUCGGGUUGUCAUGCCAAUGGCACUGCCCGGUAGCUAAAUGCGGAAGAGAUAAGUGCUGAAAGCAUCUAAGCACGAAACUUGCCCCGAGAUGAGUUCUCCCUGAGACUUAGAGUCUCCUGAAGGAACGUUGAAGACGACGACGUUGAUAGGCCGGGUGUGUAAGCGCAGCGAUGCGUUGAGCUAACCGGUACUAAUGAACCGUGAGGCUUAACC